CCCUUAGAUGUUCUGGGCCGCACGCGCGCUACACUGUUCGACGCAGCGAGUCUUAACCUUGACCGAAAGGUUUGGGUAAUCUUCAGCAAAGUCGAACGUGAUGGGGAUCGAUUAUUGAAAUUAUUAAUCUUGAACGAGGAAUUCCUAGUAAACGCAGAUCAUCAAUCUGCAUUGAUUACGUCCCUGCCCUUUGUACACACCGCCCGUCGCACCUACCGAUUGGAUGGUCCGGUGAAGCCUCGGGAUUGUGGUUCUUGCCGCUUUAUUGUGGCGUGACCGCGAGAACUUGUCUAAACCUUAUCAUCUAGAGGAAGGUGAAGUCGUAACA
rnacentral:rRNA from 1 species